ensembl:snoRNA
GGAUUUAUGAUGAGCUAUAUUUACUGAGCGUGAUGAGGUGAGGCUCAAUAUGACUACUCUGAAGUCU